GAACCGAGGAGAUUCUGACAAAAAUGCAUUAGAAAUCUUGAAUACAGUGCUGAAAGACAUUGCCUGUAGAGGACAGUGCCAAAAUAUAAUCGCUAUCUGCACCAAAACAGACGAAUAUGGCAUUCAAAGUAAUCAUAAUGUACAUGGUAUUCCAAGACAAGCAAACUCAUGUAAUGACAAUACAUUCAAAGCAGAGAUUAUACGUAAAAGAAAUACUGGAAGUCAA